rnacentral:ncRNA from 1 species
UCCCUGAAACGAGAAAACACAGCCUGGUUGGUAGUCCAGGCGCAUGCAUGGCUCUGUAUUCCUCAGAACGGCAUGUCAGUAGCCUUCCCCCCCUCGGGAUGUCCAUCGUUUCGAUUCAAUUG